rnacentral:rRNA from 1 species
UACGAGGGGGGGCGAGCGUUGUUCGGAAUUAUUGGGCGUAAAGGGUGCGUAGGCGGUUUUGGUAAGUCUGAUGUGAAAUCUAAUGGGCUGCAACUCAUGAGUCUGCAUCCGGAAAACUGCCCGGGGCCUUGAGGUAUGGGGAGAGGUGGAGUGGAAUUCCUGGUGUAGCCGGUGAAAUGCCGUAGAUAUCAGGAGGAACACCCUGGUGGCGAAAAGCGGCUCACUGGACCAUAACUGACGCUGAUGCACGAAAGCUAGGGGAGCGAAACAGG